CGACGCCACACUGUCUGUCACUGUGGCUUUAUGACAAGUCCUGCGUGGUGGAGCCAGCUGUACUAUCAUUCUUCACUGCUUGCACUCUGGCAUGAAUUGUGGACUCGGCUUGUCAAGUUCCACAAAGAUCAGCUCAGUAGACUCCUGGAGGGGAGCUGGCAUCUUGGCUACCCUGAGUCCUCGAGCUGGUUGAUAGGAACGUUCCUCCAACUGUGGUGGUCGUCUUUAAAGCUUCUCAGGAAAGUUUCAUGAAGGUCUCUGGAUGUCUUGGACUCUGUUAGAUAUACUUCUAAAUCUCAACUAUUUAAAAAAUAUUAUUGCAUAUGCUGUCCCUGAUGAAGUUGCCUGGGCACACCAGAGUGUGGGAGAGUGGACGGCGCGGCCCCUCCUGCACUUGGAGCUGCUCUCAGAUCUUGGGCUGUGACCCCUGUGGGUGACACGAAGUUCAGUGAUUGUCCUCCUUCUGGACUGAGGGACAUCCAUCCACACGCGCCCCCUCCACAGCCCGAUCCCAUCACGUCCUGCUCGUCCAACAUGGGCCUUAGAUCCUGGGGUCUCUGCUGAGUGCCUCCCCUCUGAACGCCCGGCUGGCACUUUCACGGUGAAGCCAGCUGUCAUGGACACCGACGGCAGGUGGCCUUUCUGCGUUGUCUACCGGCUGAUCUUGAAAGUGAAAACGGACAUUGUCUGCCCUGUGGUGACCGUGUUGGGUGAUGGUCCUGGGGUCAGGCCCUGCAUGCACCUUCACCCAGGGAUGGCUUCUUAGCUGACAGCGGCUCUGCCAGGAACCACGAUCACCCUCCAGUUUGCUCUUUGUGCUGAAUUUUAUUGACAUGAAAUUCGCAUGACGCCAACUUUAUCGUUUUAAAGUGAAUGGUUAAACAGAAUGCGGCACUUUCACAGGGCGGCAUGACCCCCACCUCUGUCUGCCUUCAGAACAUUUUCAUCCCCCACGAAAGGAGGAAGCGCAGUCCCCAGGAACAGUUACUCCUCAUUUCCCCUCCCCAGCUCUGGCUUCCGCAACCACGAAUCUGCUUUCUGUCUCCGUGAAUUUGCCUCUUUCGGAUAUAUUUCACGUAAAUGGAGUCCCGUGAUAGAUGAGCUGUGUCUGCCUCUUGCGGGCAGCACAGUGUCUGGAAGGUUCUCCGUGCAGCCGCAGGGGUUGGCGCUUCCUUCCUCCCGAGGCUGACCCGGCCCCGUCGUACGGGGAGUCCACUGUGUGUCUGUCUUUUGGCUGCUGUGAGCCUGGGUGUGCCGCCUGCUCCAGCCCAUGUUUUCAGCUCUUUCAGGUGUGGAGGGAGGAGUGGAAUUGUGGGAUCAUAUUGUAACUUUAACUUUGGAAGGAUCUGCCAAAUUACCCCUCUAAUUUGUUUUCAAUUUUAUUCUUAUUUCCCUGUCACUUGUUCUUUCUUUUGACUGGUUAAAAAAAAUGGCAAAGGUCUUCAGCAAAACAAGAAGUGAGUUUCAAUUGAACCGUGAAUUAAAUAUGAUACACUCAAAAUCUGACCAAUAAUACAUUUUAAUUUUCCCCACACAUUUACGUCCACGUUAAUUUCAUGGAAAUCAAGAUGCUUUUGCCUCUGUUCUAAAGUAUUUAUUUUUUUUAAGACAGGUUCUUACUCUGUUGCCCAGGCUGGAGUGCAAUGGCGCGAUCUCAGCUCACUGCAGUCUUGACCUCCCAGGCUCAAGCAAUCCUCCUGCCUCAGCCUCCUGAGUAGCUGGGACCACAGGUGUGCAUCACCAUGCCUGGCUAAUUUGUUACAUUUUUAGUAGAGACGGGGUUUCACCAUGUUGGCCAGGCUGGUCUGGAACUCCUGACCUGAAGCGAUCCUCCCACCUCAGCCUCCCACAGUGCUGGGAUUACAGGCGUGAGCCACCACGUGCAGCCUGAAAGUAUUUUUUUUUAGAGUUUCCUAAAAGUUUCAUCAUCCCUUUUGUUUUCCUAACAAGCUGUGAAACCCAGUGGGUUUUAAUUGUGAAUCAGCACCAAAACACAUGCAGAUUUAAUUUUUAAUUGAAAUGAUGGACAAUAAACAGAAUUAAUAACUCAAAUGCUUGAAGUCUGUCAAGCAUGGUGCUUUGUCUUUGCCAUGGACAUGAAAAAGCAGCAUUCCCCUCCGGACUUGAGGCUGGGGACCUUCUGAGUCAGAGCAGCCCCUCCCUCCCCACCUCCACGGCUGUUUCCACUUUGCCAUCUCCCCAGCGGGCUCUGCCCGUCCACCUGUGAGACACUCUGACUCCACGGCUUGGCUUCUGCUUGCCCCAGGCAGUGGGAUUCGGUGGCCAGGCCCUCAUUUGUUUCCCCCUCCUCCUUUCCCCAGCAGCUCCUGGCCUGGCAUGCAGCAGGUGCUCUGCUGGGCGAGUGGGAGGAGGGAGCAUAGCCACCGCUGCAGGUGGUCUGUUUGGUGCUGGGAGACGUCAUGCGUGUGUUGUCAGGCACUGGAACCCCCUGGGAGGGUGCAGGGCAGGUUUAGGACAGCCACGUGUGCCCAGAUCUAUGAGACCUUUGUGGGCUCGACUGAGUUGGGGGCUGGGCACAGAGCUUGGAGACCUCUUACUGGGAGCUGUGUGAGUGGCAGGGCCAAGGCUGUGGGGGCUGCAGGAGCUGGUGAGGAGGCAUGUGCUCGGCCGUCAUGGGACUGUCCCUGGGACUCCUGCAGCUGGGGUAGGCUCCAGGCAGGGCUCUGAGCUGCCCCCACACACCUCCAUGCAACCCCAGCUCCAUGUGCUGCUGGAAAGUCCCUGAGUACCAGGGGGGCACCUGGGGAGGGGCCUGAGUCCUGCAGACAGACCUGGGAUGGGGGUGUCAUCCACAGGUGAGGAGUGGUCCGUGCCAGGGACAGGCAGAGCCGCCAGCAUGGGCCCUGCUGGGAUCUCCGAUUGGGAAAACCAUCCCGCCACGGGAGGUGGCCAAGGUGCGUCCCCCAGCCUAUGCAUUGGGGUCCUGGUUCCAUCCCCGCCUCUCCUGUGGGCCGCACUCAGUGCCUUUUCCAUGUAACCCGUGCCGUGUGCGGUGCUCAGAGGAGGAGCGAUCGUCAUGGGGAGCUGCAGUGCCUUUUCCAUGUAACCCGCGCCGUGUGCGGGGCUCCGAGGAGGAGAGGACGUCACGGGGAGCUGCGGUGCCUUUUCCAUGUAACCCGCGCCGUGUGCGGGGCUCGGAGGAGGAGCGGUCAUCACGGGGAGCUGCAGCGCGUCUGGUGAUGUGGGGCUCACAGGCUCCUAAUGAGGCUCUCAGUCUUGUUUAUUGCGUUCUUGCUGGAAGAUUUUUUUUCUGAAACGUAGGCACAGAAUGAACUUGAAAUAUUGAGCUCUGCUUGAAAUAAAAAUGUCUUGAUAAUUAGAACCUUUGCCUGAACAGAUUCCUGUGGGGCUGCGCUGUGCAGGCUGGUUACGGGUGGGGCUCUGCUGCCCACCGAGUCAUUGCUCAAAGGCAAACGGGUCAAGCCACCGAG
rnacentral:lncRNA from 10 species